rnacentral:sRNA from 1 species
GCUGGGCAUGGUAGCAUCUGCCUGUAAUCCCACCAGCUUGGGAGGCUGAGGCAGGAGGAUCCCUAGUUCAAAGCCAGCUUCAGCAAUUUAGCAAGGUCUUAAGCAGCUCAGUGAGACCCUGUCUCUA